rnacentral:rRNA from 1 species
CCCUUAGAUGUUCUGGGCCGCACGCGCGCUACACUGAUGCAUUCAACGAGCCUAUCCUUGACCGACAGGUCCGGGUAAUCUUUGAAUCUGCAUCGUGACGGGGAUAGAUUAUUGCAAUUAUUAAUCUUCAACGAGGAAUGCCUAGUAGGCGCAAGUCAUCAGCUUGCGUCGAUUACGUCCCUGCCCUUUGUACACACCGCCCGUCGCACCUACCGAUUGAAUGUUUCGGUGAAGAUUCCGGAUAGGACUUUUUUGAUUUAUUUCAAUUCUGUCUUAAAAGCUAUCUAAACCUCAACAUUUAGAGGAAGGUGAAGUCGUAACA